rnacentral:rRNA from 1 species
UACGGGGGGGGCAAGCGUUGUUCGGAAUUACUGGGCGUAAAGGGCGCGUAGGCGGUUUGCUAAGUUGGAUGUGAAAACUCUGGGCUUAACCCAGAGCCUGCAUCCAAAACUGGCAAACUUGAGUACUGGAGGGGAAAGCGGAAUUCCUGGUGUAGCGGUGAAAUGCGUAGAUAUCAGGAGGAACACCGGUGGCGAAGGCGGCUUUCUGGACAGUAACUGACGCUGAGGCGCGAAAGCUAGGGGGAGCAAACAGG